CCAUUUAAGGGUACCAACAAUCGAAGUCUUUGUUGGCAGAAGAAAAGCACAGAUGAUGACCUUGUAAUUAGUUUUUCAGAUGAUGACAGUGGGAGUGACUCUGGAAAAUUGAAGCCUAAGACGGAGCCAACCAUACAAAAGAAAGACAUUGCAACCAGGGCAGGUACACACAUCUUUCCUAUGAUAUCAGCACAGGAGAAAACCAAGGUAGCAAGACAAGAAGCAGGUCA
rnacentral:lncRNA from 1 species